rnacentral:rRNA from 1 species
UACGUAGGGUGCAAGCGUUGUCCGGAAUUACUGGGCGUAAAGAGCUCGUAGGUGGUUUGUCGCGUUGUCCGUGAAAACUCACAACUCAAUUGUGGGCGUGCGGGCGAUACGGGCAGACUGGAGUACUGCAGGGGAGACUGGAAUUCCUGGUGUAGCGGUGGAAUGCGCAGAUAUCAGGAGGAACACCGGUGGCGAAGGCGGGUCUCUGGGCAGUAACUGACGCUGAGGCACGAAGGCCAGGGGAGCAAACGGG